rnacentral:lncRNA from 1 species
UGGUAGCAGAGAGCAGACCAAGGAAAGCAGAAGAUGGCAGAGGAAGAGAUGGCUCCAGGUAGCAAAUGCAGUGAAAAUCACACCCCAAGGCCAAUCUAUGGGCAGGUUGCCAUGAACCCCACUUAUUCCUCUAGCAAAUACAUAUUGAGCACCUGCUUUGUGCCAGGCCCUGGAGACCCACCAAACAGAGAAGAAUCUUUCUCCACAUGGAGUUAACUUUCUACUGGAGAAGACAGACAACGAACAGGUGAGGAAACUGAAGUGUAAAGAGGUUACAUAAGUUAGCUGAAAUUCUUAAAGGUAGCCACUGUUGGGGUGAGAUUUUAAAUCCAGGCAGAGAACUCCUGAGAACUAUCCAAGGCUGAACUGAGGGCAGCUCCCAGCCUCCAGCCAGGAAAAAUCCAGGCCCUCAGUUCUACAGCAGCAAGAAAAUAAAUUCUGCCAACAACCUGAGGGUGUGCAGAAGCAGAUCCUUCCCCAGUCGAACCUCCAGAUGGAAACACAGCCCAGUCCAGCCAGCAAGUUGAUUGUUAUCUUGUGUGAGACCCUCUCCCUGUCACAACUUGCAUAAAAUAUUUUUCUUUGCUUCUUUUAUUCUUUCAAGCAGCACUUGAUAUUCAUUUUAAACUGGCUUUGCUGCUCAACAAUGUUUUGUUUGGGAGUGGUGUGUGCAUGCAUAUAUGUUUUCUAGAGAUAUGUCAGAUUGUGGAAAGUACAGGGAGCAUGGCGUUAGGCUCUGUGCACAAGGUGAGAAGUUCAGCCACACCAUUGUGUUUCUCUACACAACAUCAAGGAACCAGAUACCAGGCCUGGAUGAAGCCCAGCCUUGGAAAUUGGAAGAUGCCAGCCCCCUUCAGUUCCUUAAACAAGGAUCCCUGGAUUGUAAUCUCCACAAGAGCAGGGCAUGUCUGCCUCAUCUAUCAUUGUAUCUCCAUUGCCAACCUCAGUGCUGAAUAUCUGUGGGGUAAAUGAAAGCAUGGGAAUUUGAAGAGCCACCCAUAGAAACUGUUUCCUCAAGCUAUCCCUCCUUUUCAGUGUUCACAGAACCCAUACUUUGCUCAGAAGAUUUUAAGUUUCCAUCACAGCUGAUGAUGGAAAGUUUGGGCACAGCAUGACUUUGUCUUUUGUUCAGAUCUCACACAAGGCUGCAG